rnacentral:rRNA from 1 species
ACGCUCGACACCUACGGCAGGCAGCAGUGGGGAAUAUUGCACAAUGGGGGAAACCCUGAUGCAGCGAUGCCGCGUGAAGGAAGAAGUAUCUCGGUAUGUAAACUUCUAUCAGCAGGGAAGAAAAUGACGGUACCUGACUAAGAAGCCCCGGCUAACUACGUGCUAGCAGCCGCGGUAAUCUGAGCGGGCUGGCAAGGC